AUUUGAUUCACUAUACUGCAAAAAGGGCAAUCAUCUCUCCUUUCAAAAACUGGAGAGUUAAUAGAAAAAAAAAAAAAAAAGCACUGUUUUAUCCAAACCUUACAAGGUAGUAUAUGUCACUCUCAAAAUUCAUUAUCAAUUCUAAGGCUGUAUCUCAGAUGGUACUUCUUUUCUUCAGUUUGGAUAUUUACUUAUGUAGCUGGAAGCUAUGGUUUUUCAUCAUAUCAUAAACUCACUAAAAGGAUAUUUGUUGAAUUUGCAACUGUAUAGUUUCCAAGGCUACACGUAAUGUUUUUAUUGGAUCUCUCACUUAUUAAAAAAAUUAAGCAGUGGACGCCUAAUAACAUAGUAGCUGUAAAUUAAUAAACAGAGCACAAGUUUUAAUCCAGGCACAAUUAACUAGCCAGGCUAUCUCUACUGCAUUCUACUUUAAAACAAUUCUGGUUCUUGUCACUUCAACUCCUCCCUGGAUCUAGUCUCCACAUCAAUUCUCCGCCCUUCUCUCCCUCUCUAUGCACAGGAACAAUAUGGUCCAUUCCCUGCCCUCUGCUUCUUGUUGAGUUCCACCAACAGGAGGCACCAGUAGGUGAUCUAAGCUAAAGGAGGUAAGUCCAGGGUCUGUCCUGCUCCACUGCUCCUUACUUCAGAGCCCGGUGGUUCUGGCAAAUGCUUGUUCUCCAAUGGCACAUCUCUGACUACUGCUCCCGCUGGGUGGCCCCAACUCUUCUUCCCUCUUCCCAAAGUGAAUCAAAUCUUUUCACUCUAAAUAGUUCCUGGUUGCCUUAACAACCCUUAUUUCUUCACUUAUUUCUGUCUACACUUCUGUAAAUAGUGCUGUGUUCCAUUUGUUAACUUCUCUCCAGAGUGUGCCUUAUGUGUCCUACUGGAUCCCCCAAUGAUAUGGGCACAACUUGGGACAAAGAGCACAAAGCACCACUCAGGCCAGGGAAGGUCCCCCUUCUCAGCACCUGUGAGGUGUGCCCUGGCUUUGGAAGAGCAAUGGUGUUCACUUCUGGUGUGUAAGAACCACCUGGAGAGCUUAUUAAAAAUCAGAUUCAAGGAAAGACUAAAAAACUAUCACAGAUCCAAAGACUCUAAGGAGAUACGAGAAUUAAAUAUAAUGUGAUAGCCUGGAUUCAACAGCAAAAGGGCAGUAGUGGAAAAAUUGGUGAAAUCCGAAUAGUCUGUAGCUUAGUUCGUAUUAUUACACCAAUGCUAAUUUAUUAAUUUUGACAAGUUAUUUUGGUCUAUAAGAAGUUAACAGAAAAAGCUGGGUGAAGGAAAUACAGGAACUCUUUGUAGUAUAUUUGCAACAUUUAUUGCAACAUUUGCAAUAUUUCUGUAAAUAUAAAAUUAUUUCAAAAUAAAGUGUUUACUAAGGGAAAAAGAAGAAGAUUCUCAGGUGCCCUGAAUCCAAAUUUCACAGGCUGAUACUUAAGUACGUGGCUUGAGGACUGAACCUUGAAAAGUACAGCUGUAAAGGACUUGGAAAAUAUUAGUUCUGGUAGGGCUAAGGAUGGAAACAAUUGUUUACUGAUACUAAAUUAUAGCAUGAUUACUUGACUAUUUAAAGAAAAAUGCCAAAUGAAGCUUUGUCAAAGUUCACCUAUUCCAGUUAAUUGGAAUGAUUCAUCCCUUGACCAGUUGUUGAAUUUAGUUUCAUGCAUAGAAACACUUGUAUGUAGGUGCGGGUAAUUAUAGAACCAAAGAAAAUGAGAGUAGAGUUCUUCUACUUCCUUCUCCCUCUGAGAUUAAGGUUUGUUUGCAGUGCAUGUCCACACCCUCCCCCAAACUUUAAGUUUCCAAGAAGGUACAGCCAACCAAACAGACUGAGAGUGACUUUCCUCAUUGUUUUCAUGGUGGGUGUUCUGUUUCUCUGAGGACACUUUGAGCUCCCCGAAGAAAGGAGCUAGAUUCUCAGUUUCUUCUGUGCUUUUCUACAGCUCAGUGUCCUUCACCCAGUGCUUCUGGCAAAUGGAUAACCUAUGCUUCCUGGUCUGUGCCCAUAUUUUGGCCUAUUUAUUGUAGAUAUAAUUCUUCUGUUCAACAUUUUGUCUGCCUUUGGCAUGGGUGAGAGGUGGGAUAGGCAGAGGUAAAAAUGUUGACAUUAUUAUGACUUGUUUCUUAACAAUGUUAACUGAGCACCUGUUAUGUGCCAGCCGUAUUCUAGUCACUGAGGAUCCAACGAUAAAUAAAAGAACCUCCACCUUCAAGGAGCUGAAAGUCAAAUCAAGAAGACAGACAAGCAAGUAGACAAUUCCCAUACAAUCUGUGAGCUCUCCGUUCCCAUCCUCAUACUUGGCCCAUCAUGAAUGAGCAACCCUUAGGGACAGGAACAGGUUCUAGUUCCAGGUCUGCUCCUAGUAAGAACUGAUUUUAAAAGAGGCACAAACUCUAAAAUAAUUAAGAAUGUACCACUACAAAAUAUGCUGCUCUGGCAUAUUAUCUAUUCUGAAUGAAAGGCCGUUAGGGAAAAAAAAAAAAAAAAAAAGCAGCACGUGCAAGAUCACUCUGACCUUCCGUUUCUUAAAAGUAGGAGAUAAAAUUUCCAUGUGGAAAAAUGUCCUCCCUGUACCAGAAGGAAAGCAACAUUCUUAAUAUCAAGGAAAAAAAGUUGAGGCCGAGAAAAAUCUGUACAAACAAACCUUGAUAAACUCACCCGUAUUUUCCUAGUAGUUUCUUUACCCAAUUAACUACCCUAGACCAAGCCCCUUUGCCUUGACACCGCUUCACAAUUUACUACUCUUUGUGCAAUUCAAUGUAGAAGAAACGGAUUCUAACUGCUUCUUUGGGUCUUCAUUUCCUUCUAAGGGCCCCCAUGCCACAUAAAACUUGCAUUAAAUAAAUUUGGGGUUUUCCCGUUUAUCUUAAGACCCAGGCCCAGCCACCACCCCUCUCCCCACACACACACACACACACACACACACAAAUCCUAAAAGGGAAGAGGAAAAGUUUUGCCUCUCUUACACCUUCAAUCCCCUAAUUUAAAAAAAAAAAAAAAAAAAAAAGUGAAGGGGGUAAUUUUAAAAAAUAUCUGUCUCUCUGCCUCAGGGCGCUGUUACUCCAUUGUGGGUCAAAUAACAACGGAUAUAAAAGUGUUUUGAAUACUGCCAAGGGUUAUAGAAAUGUCAAGCAAUAGAAGUUAACUAGAAAUGACAAGCAAUAGAAAUUAACGACUUAGACAGUCCCGGCCUACUAACUCUAAGGCAAAAAGCUGGUGGUCCAAUGACUUUUCUAUUAAGCACAAAUUUCACACAGUAAGAUUGUAUGAAAAGCAGUCCUUUCAAAGAUUUAAGCUCUGUUGCUUUAGAGUUAGCAAUUAAUGAAAAUUAGAUUAACAUCAAAGAACUGUGUCAGAAGGGGAGAGGUUGCCUGCGCAGAAAGGCAAAAAUUGUGUGACUGCUCCUCCUCCUCGCGUUUCUCCUACUGCCCUAGUGCCGCCUUGGCCAUGAGGGAGAUCGUGCUCACGCAAACCAGACAGUGCGGGAACCAGAUCGGUGCAAAUUCUGGAAGGUGAUCUCUGAUGAACAUGGCAUCGACUCUGCUGGAGCCUAACAUGGGGACAGUGACCUGCAGCUGGAGCGCAUCAAUGUGUACUGCAACGAGGCCAGUGGUGGCAGGUAUAUGGCCCGUGCUGUGCUCAUGGAUCUGGAGCCAGACACCAUGGACUCCGUGCACUCAGGGCCCUUUCAGCAGAUCUUCAGACCAGACAACUUCAUCUUUGGUCAGUGUGGGGCCGGGAACAACUGGGCCAAGGGGUACUACAUAGAAGGCGCGGAGCUGAUGGAGUCAGUGGUUUCCAGCUGACCCACUCCCUGGGUGGGUGAACUGGGUCUGGGAUGGGUACCAUUCUCAUGGGCAAAAUUUGGGAGGAGUAUCCAGACAGGAUCAUAAACACAUUCAGCAUCCCGCCCUCGCCCAAGGUGUCAGACACCAUGGUGGAGCCCUACAAUGCCACCCGCUCCGUCCACCAGCUCAUAGAAAAUGCAGACGAGAUGUUCUGCAUCAAUAAUGAAGCACUCCAUAACAUCUGUUCCAGAACCUUAAAACCGACCACACCCACCUACGGUGACCUGAAUCACCCGGUGUCUGCUGCCAUGAGUGGGGUCACCAUGUGCCUGUGCUUCCCGGCCCAGCUGAAUGGGAAGCUGGCUGUGAACAUGGUUCCAUUUCCCUGGCUGCACUUCUUCAUGCCUAGCUUUACCCCGCUGACCAGCCAGGGCAGCCAGCAGUACCGGGCCCUGACCGUGGCUGGGUUCACCCAACAGCUGUUUGAUGCUAAGAAUAUGAUGGCCACCUAUGACCCCUGUCAUGGCCGCUACCUAAGGUGGCUGCCAUUUUCAGAGGUCCCAUGUCCAUGAGGGAGGUGAAUGAGCGAAUGCUCAAUAUCCAGAACAAGAACAGCAGCUACUUUGCAGAGUGGCUCCCUCACGACAUGAAAACAGCCGUCUGUGACACCCCACCCCGGGGGCUAAAAAUGUCGGCCACCUACAUCGGUAACAACACAGCCAUCCAGGAGCUCUUCAAACAGUCUCCGAACAGUUACAGCCAUGGUCAGGGGCAAGGCCUUCCUGCACUUGUACACGGGCGAGGGCACGGAUGAGAUGGAGUUCACCGAGGCUGAGGGCAACCUUAAUGACCUGGUAUUGGAAUACCAGCAAUACCAAGACUCCAUAACCGAGGAGGAGGUGGUAGCCUAGAAGCUUCCUUUUCUAGGUAAAGGGGGGAAGCAGUGUGGAUUCUUUAAUGUGUUCUGAUAGCCAUUGUCACUAUACACUUCUUUGAGUCUUUACAUCUUCUCCUACUGCAUUUUAAAGCAUUUUUAUAGUAAGUAGUUUGGCCUAAUAAAACAUUUUUAUAAAAAAAAAAAAAAAAAGUGUGUGGAAUCUCCAGUAAAGAUGAACCUGACUGGGAAUCUCUUAUUUUUCUGGCUAGGCUUACACCUCGCAUGUGUCACAACGUUAACAGCGUAGUUGUUUAUAUAUUUGACCCACCAGUUAAAGAACCUCCUACAGAUAUUACUCCCACUUUCUUGACAACAGGUGUGCUCAGUACUUUACGCCAAGCUGAUUUUGAGGCCCAUAACAUUCUCAGGGAGUCUGGGUACGCUGGGAAAAUCAGCCAGAUGCCGGGGAUUUUGACACUAUUACAUUUUGAUCAGGACCCACUUCAAAAGCAGCCUUCAUGCCAAAGAUCUGUGGUUAUUCAAACCUUUAUUGCUAGUGACUUCAUGACUGGUAUACCUCCAGCACCUGGCAAUGAGAUCCCUGUAGAGGUGGUGUUAAAGAUGGUCACUGAAAUUAAGAAGAUUCCUGGUAUUUCUCGAAUUAUAUAUGACUUAACAUCAAAGCCCCACGAAUUACUGAGUGGGAGUAAUAAACUUCUUGUUCUAUUAAAAAA